AUGUUAUUAGUAUAAAUUUAUUAUGUUACUUUUCCAAAGUAAAGAUCUAAAAGUUUAGGUAUCAUA
rnacentral:tRNA from 1 species